rnacentral:rRNA from 1 species
CACGUAGUUAGCCGUGGCUUAUUCAAGAGGUGCCGUCUUCUGCUCUUCCCUCUUAAAAGAAGUUUACAACCCGAAAGCCUUCUUCCUUCACGCGGCGUUGCUGGGUCAGGCUUGCGCCCAUUGCCCAAUAUUCCCCACUGCUGCCUCCCGUAGGAGUCUGGGCCGUAUCUCAGUCCCAAUGUGGCCGGUCAACCUCUCAGUCCGGCUACUGAUCGUCGCCUAGGUGGGCCGUUACCCCGCCUACUAGCUAAUCAGACGCGAGGCCAUCUUCCAGCGAUAAAUCUUUGACAUUCAAACCAUGCGAUUCAAUGUGUCAUGCGGUAUUAGCAGUCGUUUCCAACUGUUGUCCCCCUCUGGAAGGCAGGUUCCUCACGCGUUACUCACCAGUCCGCCACUAAGCAUUCCUCUCCAUUGUCCGAAAACUCUUUCAAGGGUGCUCCGUUCGACUUGCAUGUGUUAGCACGCCGCAGCGUCUCCUGACGCGAGAGCAACUCU